ACUGCUGAUGCGGAUGUGUGGAAGAAAGAGAGAGACACUGAGGAAUGCUUCCUGCUCUGGGUUGUGUAGGAGUGUCGACUGUUUGUGUCUGUAGCUGAUUCCUUCACAAAGGCGAGCAGGAGGGUGACUCAAGGCAACAGGGUGUGUUUUCAGGCUGAGGUAAAAGAUCUACAUCAGAAGAAAAGGUCAUUUGUGUCAUUUUAAGAAUAGUUCCCCCUCUGGAUUAGUUGAUUGUGAGACUGACUGGCAGUGAGGAAGGCCUCAUCGAUCAUUAGCUCUUUCUCUGGGAGCAAUUAUAGAUCGUCCUCGAUUUACGACCAAAAUUGAGCCCAGAAUUUAUGUUGCUAAGUGAGACAUUUUUUAAGGGAGCCCUGUUCCAUUUUACAACCUUUCUUGCUGCAGAAUCAUUGCAUCGUUUAAGUUAAUAACAUGGCUGUUCAGUGCAUCCGGCUACCCCCUUGACUUUACUUGUCAGAAGGUCACAAAAGAGGAUCACAGGACCCCAGGACAAUGUGUAAUCGUCAUAAAUAUGAGUCAGCGGACAAGCAUCUGAAUUUGGAUCAUGUGACCAUGGGGGAUGGUGCAACAGUCGUGUGAAAAAUGGUCACAAGUGACUUUUGGGGGCUUCUAAUCCUAUCCCUCUG